rnacentral:rRNA from 1 species
GUCACUUACAGAUGGGCCCGCGGCGCAUUAGCUAGUUGGUGAGGUAAUGGCUCACCAAGGCGACGAUGCGUAUGCGACCUGAGAGGGUGAUCGGCCACACUGGGACUGAGACACGGACCACACUCCUACGGGAGGCAGCAGUAGGGAAUCUUCCGCAAUGGACGAAAGUCUGACAGAGCAACGCCGCGUGAGUGAUGAAGGUUUUCGGAUCGUAAAACUCUGUUGUCAGGGAAGAACAAGUGCCGGAAUAACUGCCGGCCCCUUGACGGUACCUGACCAGAAAGCCACGGCUAACUACGUGCCAGCAGCCGCGGUAAUACGUACGUGGCAAGCGUUGUCCGGAAUUAUUGGGCGUAAAGCGCGCGCAGGCGGUUUGUUAAGUCUGAUGUGAAAGCCCCCGGCUCACCGGGGAGGGUCAUUG